AGUUUAUGUAUCUUUAUUUUUGAGUGUACUUGUAUAUACCGGUAUGACUAUAUAUUUGUUAGUGUAUGUGACUGUGUUUGUUUGUUUGUGUAUAUCUGUCGGUCUGUUUAUGCAUGCUUGUUCACUUAUCUGAUAAAUUAUCACUCAUCUGUCGGUUAGUACACAUUUGUCAAUUAACGUAUCUAUCAGUGUAUGUAUAUCUG